UCCAUCUCCCUGAACUAAAAAACCCUUCAUUCCCCUUUCCUUCUUCAAUUGCAAAAACGAUUUCCCCUUUCCUUCUUCAAACGCAAAAGUCAUCCAACAUUUGCUUUACUUCCUUAAAUUUUCAUCCCUCUGACAACUCAACCCCUUCCUUUCUAAGCUUUUUCCCUCUCUCUUCAGAGACACAUCUGCCAUUUACGGUUCUAUCGUCACCACCACCAACGACGUUUGGGUUAUCGAUGAUCUUCCUGUCAACCCGUCAUUUCAGAAGCUUCUCGAAACUCUCUACCAUGAAAAACUCAACCUCGUUGAUUUUGUGAACAAGUUCGUAGAUUCAUCAUGGCGGCAGCAUCAAACUCUCUCCCCCUAAAAAAUGAUCUGUCUCUCUGGUGUCCGAACUGUACUUCCUUUUUCGUACAUCAUCAACGGCCUUCUUCUGUUGCCUUCAGACGUUUCCAAAGAAGCUACGUUUCUACCUCCACGGAUUGCCAACGACAAUAAAGAGUUUGAGAUUGUUGGUGGUGGAAAUGCUACUGGUUAUGCUACUGGUACUUUUGUUGAACAGGGGAUGGCAGAUGGACGGCUUUCUAUAGUAUCUAAGGAAAUGAUUUAGUUUUAUAAUUUUAUGUUAGUAUAAAUUCUAUAAUUUAGAUGAUAAUGGUAUUCAAUUCGAUUAUUUUACCUAUUUCUUAUCUUUUUGGGACUGAUUCUAUUGCAUUCCAAGCGUUUGCACCGUACGAGCGUUCGACUUUGACAAAAGGGGUUUCAUACAUGUGUUGGAUCUGGUUGGGAAAGGCAACACCAGAAUGGUACAAGGAUAAAGGUAUUAAGGCAAACUACUCAAGUAUGGAGCCCUUUUAAUAGAAAUAGGAUGUACAACUUGAAGAUUUCCCGAUAAGAUCGGUGGUGGGCUACCUGGUGUUCACUACAUCCGAGAUGUUGCAGAUGCAGAUUCACUAAUUUCCUCAUUAGUAAUACACACUGCUAGCUUGUGUAAAUUUUUCUCUUUGGAAUCUACAUUUUACUUUUUGCAACUCCAAUUGACUUCCAUUUCCCUUCUAGGAGAAAGCAAAAAAGGUGGUGCUUGUUGGUGGUGGUUAUAUUAGUAUGGAGAUCGUUGCUACCCUUCGAAUGGUUAAAAGCGGAGUGUAUGUGAAUGUGUUGUGUUAUGUAUGUGUUGUGUAUGUGAAUGUGCUAUGUUGUUGAAGUGAAUGUGUUGUGUUGUUGAAGUGAAUCUAUGUAUGUGAAUGUGUUGUUGAUGUGAAUGUGCUGUGUUGUUCAAGUGAAUCUGUGUAUGUGUUGUAGUUAAAUGAACUGAAUGUAACUAAAUGUAAACCAUUCUUAUAUUCUUAUCUUGAUGUGUAGAGAGUCAUAACCUAAAAUUUCAUUUUGUUUUUUUACUAGGUUUUGCAAGAAUCCAUUGGAGCAAUGAAGCCAUAUUUGCGCAAUUGAUUGAUUUAUAUGCCUUUUUGUAGGUUUGGUAACAAAAUUUUGGUUUAAAGGUACUUAUUUAAAUAACUUAUUGGCACCAAAAUAUGUAUGUUCAUUCUAUCAUUGUACAAACCAUUUACAACGGUUGUGCAGAUAUUACAAAGUAUAUGUUAACGUACAUAUAUUAAAGUGUUUACUAUUUGUUUCCAUA